rnacentral:rRNA from 1 species
UACGGGGGGAGCAAGCGUUGUUCGGAUUUACUGGGCGUAAAGGGCGCGUAGGCGGUCGUGACAAGUCACUUGUGAAAUCUCCGGGCUUAACUCGGAACGGCCAAGUGAAACUGUCAAGCUAGAGUGCAGAAGGGGCAAUCGGAAUUCUUGGUGUAGCGGUGAAAUGCGUAGAUAUCAAGAGGAACACCUGAGGUGAAGACGGGUUGCUGGGCUGACACUGACGCUGAGACACGAAAGCCAGGGGAGCAAACGGG